rnacentral:rRNA from 1 species
AGCUCACUAAACUAUUACUGACGCUCAUGAACGAAAGCGUGGGGAGCGAACAGGAUUAGGUACCCUGGUAGUCCACGCCGUAAACUAUGAUCACUAGAUGUUGGCGAUGUAUUGUCAGUGUYUUAGAGAAAUCGUUAAGUGAUCCACCUGGGGAGUACGUUCGCAAGAAUGAAACUCAAAGGAAUUGACGGGGGCCCGCACAAGCGGUGGAGCAUGUGGUUUAAUUCGAUGAUACGCGAGGAACCUUACCAAGGCUCAAAUGUAGAUUGACAGAUUGUGAAAACAGUUUUUCUUCGGACAAUUUACAAGGUGCUGCAUGGUUGUCGUCAGCUCGUGCCGUGAGGUGUCGGGUUAAGUCCCAUAACGAGCGCAACCCCUACUUUUAGUUACCAGCGAAUAAUGUCGGGAACUCUAGAAAGACUGCCUGUGUAAACAGUGAGGAAGGUGGGGAUGACGUCAAAUCAUCACGGCCCUUAUGUCUUGGGCUACACACGUGCUACAGUGGUUACUACAGUGGGCUGCCAUCUGGUAACAGAGAGCAAAUCCAUAAAGGUAAUCCCAGUUCGGAUCGGAGUCUGCAACUCGACUCUGUGAAGUUGGAAUCGCUAGUAAUCGUAUAUCAGCAAUGAUACGGUGAAUACGUUCCCGGGCCUUGUACACACCGCCCGUCAAGCCAUGGAAGUUUGUGGUGCCUGAAGUCAGUAACCGAAAGGAUCUGCCUAGGGUAAAACAGAUAACUAGGGCUAGUCGUAACAAGGUUCCCG